AGCGAACGCUGGCGGCAGGCUUAACACAUGCAAGUCGAGCGGGCAUCUUCGGAUGUCAGCGGCAGACGGGUGAGUAACACGUGGGAACGUACCCUUCGGUUCGGAACAACUCUGGGAAACUGGAGCUAAUACCGGAUACGCCCUUAUGGGGAAAGGUUUACUGCCGAAGGAUCGGCCCGCGUCUGAUUAGCUAGUUGGUGGGGUAACGGCCUACCAAGGCGACGAUCAGUAGCUGGUCUGAGAGGAUGAUCAGCCACACCGGGACUGAGACACGGCCCAGACUCCUACGGGAGGCAGCAGUGGGGAAUAUUGGACAAUGGGCGCAAGCCUGAUCCAGCCACGCCGCGUGAGUGAUGAAGGCCUUAGGGUUGUAAAGCUCUUUUGUCCGGGACGAUAAUGACGGUACCGGAAGAAUAAGCCCCGGCUAACUUCGUG
rnacentral:rRNA from 1 species